rnacentral:rRNA from 1 species
GACGAACGCUGGCGGCGUGCCUAAUACAUGCAAGUAGAACGCAGUUGCGAACGGGGGAGUAACGCGUAGGUAACUGCCUCAUAGCGGGGGAUAAAUAUUGGAAACGAUAGCUAAUACCGGAUAGUGUGAGAUGGACCUGAGUUGUAUUAGCUAGUUGGUGAGGUAAAGGCUCACCAAGGCGACGAUACAUAGACGACCUGAGAGGUUGAGCGGCCAUCCUUGUACUGAGCCACGUCCCAGACUCCUUCUGUAUGCAGCAGUAGGGAAUCUUCGGCAAUGUACGGAAUUCUGACCGAGCAACGCCGCGUGAGUGAAGAAGGUUUUCGGAUCGUAAAGCUCUGUUGUUAGAGAAGCGUUAACUAACCAGAAAGGGCCGGCUAACUACGUGCCAGCAGCCGCGGUAAUAC